ensembl:lncRNA
GGGUGCCCUAUGGGUACUCUAUGGGUGCCCUAUGGGAUAUGGGUUCCCUAUGGGUAUCACAGCCCCCUGACCGACCCCAAUCCCCCCGCAGGCGCUGAGGCCAUGGCUGAGCCGUGCCCUAUGGGGUGUGGGUGCCCUAUGGGUGCUGUAUGGGAUAUGGGUGCCCUAUGGGUGCCCUAUGGGUGCUGUAUGGGAUAUGGGUGCCCUAUGGGUGCUGUAUGGGAUAUGGGUGCCCUAUGGGUGCUCUAUGGGUACUCUAUGGGUGCUGUAUGGGAUAUGGGAUCCCUAUGGGUGCUGUAUGGGAUAUGGGUUCCCUAUGUGUAUCACAGCCCCCAAUCCCCCCCGCAGGCGCUGAGGCCAUGGCUGAGCCGUGCCCUAUGGGGUGUGGGUGCCCUAUGGGUGCUCUAUGGGUGCUCUAUGGGAUAUGGGUGCCCUAUGGGUGCCCUAUGGGUGCUGUAUGGGAUAUGGGUGCCCUAUGGGUGCCCUAUGGGUGCUGUAUGGGAUAUGGGUGCCCUAUGGGUGCUGUAUGGGAUAUGGUUGCCCUAUGGCUGCCCUAUUGGGGCUCUAUGGGUGCUGUAUGGGAUAUGGGUGCCCUAUGGGAUCCCUAUGGGUAUCACAGCCCCCUGACCGACCCCAAUCCCCCCCGCAGGCGCUGAGGCCAUGGCUGAGCUGUGCCCUAUGGGGUGU